CCGUGAAACUGCGAAUGGCUCAUUAAAUCAGUUAUCGUUUAUUCCGAUAAUACCUUACUACUUGGAUAACCGUGGUAAUUCUAGAGCUAAUACAUGCUGAAAAUCCCGACUUCGGAAGGGAUGUGUUUAUUAGAUAAAAAACCAAUGCCCUUCGGGGCUUUUUGGUGAUUCAUGAUAACUUUACGGAUCGCAUAGCCUUGCGCUGGCGACGGUUCAUUCAAAUUUCUGCCCUAUCAACUUUCGAUGGUAAGGUAUUGGCUUACCAUGGUUUCAACGGGUAACGGGGAAUUAGGGUUCGAUUCCGGAGAGGGAGCCUGAGAAACGGCUACCACAUCCAAGGAAGGCAGCAGGCGCGCAAAUUACCCAAUCCCGACACGGGGAGGUAGUGACAAUAAAUACUGAUACAGGGCUCUUUUGGGUCUUGUAAUUGGAAUGAGUACAAUUUAAACCUCUUAACGAGGAACAAUUGGAGGGCAAGUCUGGUGCCAGCAGCCGCGGUAAUUCCAGCUCCAAUAGCGUAUAUUAAAGUUGUUGCAGUUAAAAAGCUCGUAGUUGAAACUUGGGCCUGGCUGGCGGGUCCGCCUCACCGCGUGCACUCGUCCGGCCGGGCCUUCCUUCUGAAGAACCUCAUGCCCUUCACUGGGCGUGCUGGGGAAUCAGGACUUUUACUUUGAAAAAAUUAGAGUGUUCAAAGCAGGCCUUUGCUCGAAUACGUUAGCAUGGAAUAAUAAAAUAGGGCGUGCGUUUCUAUUUUGUUGGUUUCUAGAGACGCCGCAAUGAUUAACAGGAACAGUCGGGGGCAUCAGUAUUCAGUUGUCAGAGGUGAAAUUCUUGGAUUUACUGAAGACUAACUACUGCGAAAGCAUUUGCCAAGGAUGUUUUCAUUAAUCAGUGAACGAAAGUUAGGGGAUCGAAGACGAUCAGAUACCGUCGUAGUCUUAACCGUAAACUAUGCCGACUAGGGAUCGGGCGAUGUUCUUUUUCUGACUCGCUCGGCACCUUACGAGAAAUCAAAGUU
rnacentral:rRNA from 1 species